CCCUCACCAGACAGCAAAUCUGCUGGCGCCUUGAUCUUGGACUUCCCAGCCUCUAGAACUCUUCUGACUUAGAGACUCACAAACUCUGCACCUCCACCGCACCCAUUCCUCAGUCAUUCAUGUCAGCUUUAAGUACAUCAGCAGUCUGAGAGAAGACCGCAAACAAGAUUAUAUUAAUUUCAGGUGUAGAAUAUAAUGACUCAGUAUUUGUAUAUAUUGUGAAAUGAUCAUUACAAUAAAUUUAGUUAACAUCCA